rnacentral:rRNA from 1 species
CCCUUAGAUGUUCUGGGCCGCACGCGCGCUACACUGACGAAUGCAACGAGCUUAUAACCUUGGCCGAAAGGUCUGGGUAAUCUCCAAAUUUCGUCGUGAUGGGGAUAGAUUAUUGCAAUUAUUAAUCUUCAACGAGGAAUGCCUAGUAAGCGCAAGUCAUCAGCUUGCGUUGAUUACGUCCCUGCCCUUUGUACACGCCGCCCGUCGCUCCUACCGAUUGAAUGGUCCGGUGAAGCGUUCGGACCGUGGCCUUUGGACGGUUCGCCGUCUGUUGGCUGCGGGAAGUUCGUUAAACCUUAUCAUUUAGAGGAAGGAGAAGUCGUANCA